ACAUUCCAAACCAAUCAGCAGCAGACCCUCCCUCCCAGACCCUCCCACCUCCUGGACAGCAUCCAUUUUGAAGCUGCAUUCUUAGUGAGCUGUCCAGGAGGUGGGAGGGUCUGGGAGGGAGGGUCUGCUGCUGAUUGGCUGGAAUGU